AGAGAUAUAAUAAUCUCUUUAAUAAAAUGCCUCAACUCGACACUGCAACAUGGAUCUUAACAAGAGAUACUCAUAAUUAUCUCACUAUUUGGCAUCUAUCUGCUUAAAAUAAUGAAUCAAGUAAUUAUCCAAAUUACCCCUUCAAAUGAAAAGAAAAAAGCUACAAAAAGCACCUUACCCUGACAAACAAAAUGAACGAAAAAUUUAUUUGCCCCAUUCGUCACACCAACAAUUAUAGGUAUUACAACCCUACCUAUUAUUAUUAUAUUUCCCUGUGUUAUACUAUCAUCCCCAAAACGAUGACUACCAAACCGAAUUCAAACACUACAAAUCUGACUAAUUCGCUUAAUUACUAAACAAAUAAUGACAAUGCAUAACAAACAAGGACGAACCUGGACCCUAAUACUAAUCUCUUUAAUUCUCUUUAUCGCUUCUACUAAUCUCUUAGGGCUACUCCCAUAUUCAUUCACACCUACAACUCAACUAUCAAUAAAUAUUGGUAUUACAACCCUACCUAUUAUUAUUAUAUUUCCCUGUGUUAUACUAUCAUCCCCAAAACGAUGACUACCAAACCGAAUUCAAACACUACAAAUCUGACUAAUUCGCUUAAUUACUAAACAAAUAAUGACAAUGCAUAACAAACAAGGACGAACCUGGACCCUAAUACUAAUCUCUUUAAUUCUCUU
rnacentral:lncRNA from 1 species